rnacentral:rRNA from 2 species
UUGAACUGAAGAGUUUGAUCCUGGCUCAGAUUGAACGCUGGCGGCAUGCCUUACACAUGCAAGUCGAACGGCAGCACGGGUGCUUGCACCUGGUGGCGAGUGGCGAACGGGUGAGUAAUACAUCGGAACAUGUCCUGUAGUGGGGGAUAGCCCGGCGAAAGCCGGAUUAAUACCGCAUACGAUCCACGGAUGAAAGCGGGGGACCUUCGGGCCUCGCGCUAUAGGGUUGGCCGAUGGCUGAUUAGCUAGUUGGUGGGGUAAAGGCCUACCAAGGCGACGAUCAGUAGCUGGUCUGAGAGGACGACCAGCCACACUGGGACUGAGACACGGCCCAGACUCCUACGGGAGGCAGCAGUGGGGAAUUUUGGACAAUGGGCGAAAGCCUGAUCCAGCAAUGCCGCGUGUGUGAAGAAGGCCUUCGGGUUGUAAAGCACUUUUGUCCGGAAAGAAAUCC